rnacentral:snoRNA from 1 species
AUGUUAAAUAUGAUGACUGCAUAGUUCAUCUGAAUACGAUGACGAACAAACCAAAUGCUUUCGCCCCUAUCUGAUACAACAU